AUACGGAGGGUGCAAGCGUUGUUCGGAAUCACUGGGCGUAAAGGGCGCGCAGGCGGUUUGAUUAGUCAGAUGUGAAAGCCCACGGCUUAACCGUGGAAGUGCAUUUGAAACUGUCAGACUUGAGUACCAGAGGGGGUAGUGGAAUUCCCGGUGUAGAGGUGAAAUUCGUAGAUAUCGGGAGGAAUACCGGUGGCGAAGGCGACUACCUGGCUGGAUACUGACGCUGAGGCGCGAAAGCGUGGGGAGCAAACAGGAUUAGAUACCCCGGUAGUCC
rnacentral:rRNA from 1 species